GGCGGUGUAGCUCAGUUGGUUAGAGCAGUCGGCUCAUACCCGGCGCGUCGGCCGUUCGAGUCGGCCCACCGCUACCA
rnacentral:tRNA from 1 species